GAAAACACUGUUAGUCUCUCUGGUCUCAAGCACUUGUGCACAUGGCCUCCGCUAAUUUAGGUAAAGCGCCUGGGCUUCAGGUCGGAAAGGCAUUAUAGCUGGGUCUUGGAUGCGUUAUAGUGAUUGGGGCCACAGGGUGAGGAGCGGGAUCACCCACCACCGGUCCAGAGAGGGGAAGAACAGGGCCCGUUCCACGUAGUUUCAGGCUUCUGGCUGGACACUGUAAGUCAGGACAGCAGAGCAGCGGCUGUCUGCUCCACUCACCGCCGGAGUAGACCUCAUCUGAGACAACGAAG